AUGAACGCUAGCUACAGGCUUAACACAUGCAAGUCGAGGGGCAGCAUGAACUUAGCUUGCUAAGUUUGAUGGCGACCGGCGCACGGGUGAGUAACACGUAUCCAACCUGCCGAUGACUCGGGGAUAGCCUUUCGAAAGAAAGAUUAAUACCCGAUGGCAUAAUUCUUCCGCAUGGUAGAAUUAUUAAAGAAUUUCGGUCAUCGAUGGGGAUGCGUUCCAUUAGGUUGUUGGCGGGGUAACGGCCCACCAAGCCUUCGAUGGAUAGGGGUUCUGAGAGGAAGGUCCCCCACAUUGGAACUGAGACACGGUCCAAACUCCUACGGGAGGCAGCAGUGAGGAAUAUUGGUCAAUGGACGAGAGUCUGAACCAGCCAAGUAGCGUGAAGGAUGACUGCCCUAUGGGUUGUAAACUUCUUUUAUACGGGAAUAAAGUGAGGCACGUGUGCCUUUUUGUAUGUACCGUAUGAAUAAGGAUCGGCUAACUCCGUGCCAGCAGCCGCGGUAAUACGGAGGAUCCGAGCGUUAUCCGGAUUUAUUGGGUUUAAAGGGAGCGUAGGCGGACGCUUAAGUCAGUUGUGAAAGUUUGCGGCUCAACCGUAAAAUUGCAGUUGAUACUGGGUGUCUUGAGUACAGUAGAGGCAGGCGGAAUUCGUGGUGUAGCGGUGAAAUGCUUAGAUAUCACGAAGAACUCCGAUUGCGAAGGCAGCCUGCUGGACUGUAACUGACGCUGAUGCUCGAAAGUGUGGGUAUCAAACAGGAUUAGAUACCCUGGUAGUCCACACAGUAAACGAUGAAUACUCGCUGUUUGCGAUAUACAGUAAGCGGCCAAGCGAAAGCGUUAAGUAUUCCACCUGGGGAGUACGCCGGCAACGGUGAAACUCAAAGGAAUUGACGGGGGCCCGCACAAGCAGUGGAGUAUGUGGUUUAAUUCGAAGCAACGCGAAGAACCUUACCAGGUCUUGACAUCGAGUGACGAAUCUAGAGAUAGAUUUUUCCUUCGGGACACAAAGACAGGUGGUGCAUGGUUGUCGUCAGCUCGUGUCGUGAGAUGUUGGGUUAAGUCCCGCAACGAGCGCAACCCUUGCUAUUAGUUGCUACGCAAGAGCACUCUAAUAGGACUGCCGUUGACAAAACGGAGGAAGGUGGGGAUGACGUCAAAUCAUCAUGCCCUUUAUGACCUGGGCUACACACGUACUACAAUGGCUGUAACAGAGGGAAGCAACAUAGAGAUGUGAAGCAAAUCCCAAAAAGCAGUCUCAGUUCGGAUUGAAGGCUGAAAUUCGCCUUCAUGAAGCCGGAAUUGCUAGUAAUGGCAGGUCAGCAUACUGCCGUGAAUACGUUCCCGGGCCUUGUACACACCGCCCGUCACACCAUGAGAGUUGGGGAUACCCGAAGCCUGUGAGCCAACAGUUUACUGAGGCAGCAGUCGAAGGUAGAAUCAAUGAUUGGGGUG
rnacentral:rRNA from 1 species